CCUACGGGAGGCAGCAGUAAGGAAUAUUGGUCAAUGGACGAAAGUCUGAACCAGCCAUGCCGCGUGAAGGAUGAAGGUCCUCUGGAUUGUAAACUUCUUUUAUCUGGGACGAAAAAAGGGCUUUCUAGCUCACUUGACGGUACCAGAGGAAUAAGCACCGGCUAACUCCGUGCCAGCAGCCGCGGUAAUACGGAGGGUGCAAGCGUUAUCCGGAUUUACUGGGUUUAAAGGGAGCGUAGGUGGGCAGGUAAGUCAGUGGUGAAAUCUCUGGGCUUAACCCGGAAACUGCCAUUGAUACUAUCUGUCUUGAAUAUCCUGGAGGUAAGCGGAAUAUGUCAUGUAGCGGUGAAAUGCUUAGAUAUGACAUAGAACACCCAUUGCGAAGGCAGCUUACUACGGGAUUAUUGACACUGAGGCUCGAAAGCGUGGGGAUCAAACAGGAUUAGAUACCCUGGUAGUCCACGCCCUAAACGAUGGAUACUCGACAUCAGCGAUACACUGUUGGUGUCUGAGCGAAAGCAUUAAGUAUCCCACCUGGAAGUACGACCGCAAGGUUGAAACUCAAAUGAGUAGAGNGNGAGAGNGCGAGACGACGACGAGGGAGGAGG
rnacentral:rRNA from 1 species